GCGAGCACACCCCGGCACUUCCUCUGCGGCACCCGCGCCUGGCAAGCGCAGGGCCGCAGCGUACGCCCGCAGAGUGGCGCCAACCCUGCACUGGCUGCGGGCUGCGCCCGCGCUGCCUGCCGGCCCUUCACCGCUGCAAGGGUUAACGCGGCCACCGGGCGGCGCCGAGAUCGACUCCGCAGGAUGAGGGAGUGGUGGGUCCAGGUAGGCUGUUGGCAGCGCCCCGUUUGCUGCGUACCUGCACAUCCCACCCCCUCAGCUCUCCCCUGCCCUUCGGUCAUGGAAGUCUUCAGGCAAGUGUUUCACUUAUAAGGGACUGCGUAUUUUCUACCAAGACUCUGCGGGUGUGGUUGGAAGUCCGGGGAUAGUUGUGCUUUUACACGGUUUUCCAACAUCCAGCUAAGAUUGGUACCAGAUUUGAGAAGGUUUGACCUCGACAUUUCAUUGGGGGAUUGCCCUUGAUUUCUUAGGCUUUGUCUUUAGUGACAAAUCGAGACCACAUCACUGUUUCAUAUCUGAGCAGGUCAGCAUCGUGGAAGUGCUUUUGUGGCAUCUGGGGCUCCAGAACAGCAGGAUCAACCUUCUGUCUCAUGACUAUGGAGAUAUUGUUGCUCAGAAGCUUCCCUACAGGUAGGAGCAGAAUUGAUCUAGUCAGCUUACCAUAAAGAGUCUCUGUCAAAUGGAGGUAUCUUUCCUGAGUCCAGUCCACUCCUCCAAAAGCUACUCAGAGACAGAGGUGUGCGGUCACCCAUCCUCACACGACUGAUGAACUUCUUUGUAUUCUCUCGAGUUCUCACCCCAGUCUUUGGGCCGUAUACUCGGCCCUCUGACAGUGAGCUGUGGGCCUGUGGUCAGGGAUCCACAACAAGGACGGGAACUGAGUCAUCCACAGUCUCUUCCAGUGCAUCAAUCAGAGGAAGAAGUUCAGAAGGCGCUGGGUGGGAGCUCUUGCUUCUGUAACUAUCCCCACUCAUUUUUUCUAUGGACCUUUGGAUCCUGUAAGUCCCUCACCAGAGGUUUUGGGCUGUACAGGAAAAUGCUGCCGCAGUCCACAGUGUCGAUUCUGGAUGACCACAUUAGCCACUAUCCAAGGCUAGAGGAUCCCAUGGGCUUCUUGAAUGCAUAUAUGGGCUUCAUCAACUCCUUCUGAGCUUCCCUAUAUUACCUCCCCUACUCCCUUAUCUGUUGUGAAGAAAUGCCCCGGUCAUCAAACAGUAUUCUCUCACCAAGUCCACUUUACUCAAAUUGGUGAACGUGUAUAGGAAGAAGCCAGCAGGAGCUCUGACUAAGGUUGACAUGAUAGUCCACCUCCCAUUACUUUGACAUCUGAUCAAAUAUAUGGACUUGGCUUUGCUUUUGUGUUAUUAGGAGAUUCUGACGAGCAUUACUAUUCACUGAUGCAGAAAGAUUCUUUUGCAUAAAAGACUUUUUAAUACUUUGGACUUCUCUGAAAUAUUUAGAAGUGCUAAUUUCUGGCCCAGCCCCCUCAGGAAUCCUAUAGUGAGAAUGAGGAGGGGCCCUCCUUUCCUCUCCCUGAAUGGCUUUAGCUUUAUGGGCACAUGCUUUUUAAAAGUUCUUUAAGCAACACAGAGCUGAGUCCUCUGUCAUACCUUUAGAUUUAGUUUCAUCAGCUGUUUUUAGUUAUAAACAUUUUGUUAAAAUAGAUAUUGGUUUAAAUAAUAUACCACUCUAAGUAUGAUUUACCUACACAUUAUAUAUAUUUUAUAAAGAUACUAAACCAGCAUACCCUUACCCUACCGGAAUAGUGAACCUAAUUAAACAUGUUUGAUUUCUGAAUAAAUUGAACUAAAUCCAAACUAUUUCCUAAAAUCACAGGACAUUAAGGGUCAAUAGCAUCUGUGCCAGAGAUUUACUGUUAUUGGCUGGAAAGACCAAUUCGAACAGCAAAUAACAAUCUGAGACUCCUCAUACCUCAGUGCUUAGAAGCAUGUCUCUCUUGAGCUACCGUAGAGGGGAAGGGAUUGUUGUGUAGUCCAAAUCAACAUGCUGAAUAUACACUGAUUCCUUUAAUGUACAUUCCUGUACUUUACAGAUAGGAAAGUUGCAGAAACUUUAAGGACAAAUUCUGAAAGACCUAUGAACAAAUGGUGCUGAAUACUUUUUUUUUAAACACAUUUCUUUGUCUCAGUCAAAGCAGGAUUAUUAAGUGAUUAUUUAAAAUUCAUUUUUUAAUUAACAACUUCAAGUAUAACAACUUUGAAACCGGAAUAAGUGUUUAUUUUCUAUUAAUAAAAAUGAAUUGUGACCAAAAAAAAGAAAUAGAAUCAAGACCUUGUUCAUUGAUAUAAU